CACAGACACAGACACAGACACACACACACACACACACACACACACACACACACACACACAGAGAGAGAGAGAGAGAGAGAGACACACACACACACACAGAGAGAGAGAGAGACACACACACACACAGAGAGAGAGAGAGAGAGACAGAGAGAGAGAGAGAGACACACACACGUCUUUGUAAAUUGUUUUUUUAAUAUAUAACUUUAAAACUACCAUGUAAUGGUUGCUUUCACUCUGGACAAUCCAUUCCUUACCUACUCUUGAAUGCACAAGAAAUGGAAGAAGGAACGUCUGUGUGUGGAGAAGGCCAGUCCUACAGUUUUGGUAGACAAGGAUUAAAGUUAUCUAGGAAAAAGAGAGUUAAUAGAUGAUCCGUGUGGUUUUAAACUAUGUAGGAAGUAAUUUCAACCCAGUUUAUUAUAAAAAUUAAGGCUAAGCAAAGGUUUUUUUAAGUGUUCAAGUUCAUUUUCUUACGAUGUGUAUUCAAAAUAAAAUUAUGUAAGCCCCAAGUUAAUAGAUCUAGCACUAAAAUAUCAUUUUUCUAAUGUUAAUACAAUUAUAAUGGAUACAAGUCCUUGUUCUAUGUGAAAAUGUGAUUCACACAUGAAUGUAAAGUCAACACAAGAAGGACCUGAAUUUUUUGUACCAGACAGAGACAGAGAAAUGCACAGGCUAAAAUUCACUUCCUUAUGGGAAUGUGGGAUGGAUCCCACCUUACCUACUUAAGAUAAUGACUCAAAUUAAGCUUUUUGGACACCACUUUUGUGGGGAUACACAUACGCUGAUCUAGAAAUGAAAGGCGCACAGCUACAUUUCUAGAUCCACUAAUGCCAGUUUCUCUUUGGCUUCAGCCUUUGAGAACCUGUUCAAGAAUACGUAAGUAUCCAGAGCUCUGAAGAGUUCGAAGGCCAACUUUUUCAGUGAACUCACACACUCUGGGUCUCCUGCAACUGACAAUUGGGUACCUUGCAACAAUGCGGGAAGGAUCCGAGUUUAUGAUGAGUUUCAAAGGCCGUGUUCACUUAGGAACUGACUCUCUCUGGAUCUGCCUGCUGCGUUCCAGCAGGAUGACGGGCUGAAAUCCCACCCAUAGGGAAGACACCUGUGCAAUUCCAGCUCAGUUUGGCUGAAGGUAACUAAAGAAGAAGGUCCAGUAAAUGGAAGAAUAGACUACAGCUGGCCUUCUCCACACACACACGCACACACACGCACGCACGCACACACACAGAUGUGGGAUAGAAGAGAGAUCAGCACCAAAAUGUAGCAUUAUAUCAGUAGUAGUAAAGAAAUAAUAUAAAUGUGAAUGAUUCUGACUUAGCUGCAUUUAUAGUUUUCUUCUCAUUUUUCAUGCCACAGGGGGGAAAAAAAGAAAUGAUUUAUAGUAGAAGUAGCAAGGCAAAAGUAGAUUUAUCAUUUGGAAAGGCAAAUUUCAGGCAUUUCUUCAAGACUGGUGUGCUAAAAUUAAUACUGUUGUUGUGUUUUUACACCUAGAAGUUUUAGCCUGGACAUGUAGAUUGAGGCCAAGUCCCUAUGUAGGAAAAAGGUUUUUUUCAAAACCCCUAAAAAAAUGCCAAUCAUGAAAGUCCACUUCAACUUUAGCAAAAAAAUUCAACAAAAAGUAUACUCUGUAUGCUGGGAUCCCAAGGUUCCAACACACCAUCUUUGGGGGGGUUCUUUCUUCUGAUAAUUCUAGAGCCUGUUACCAUAGAAAGGAAUUUCUUCAAUGGCUGAUUGUAGUUAGUUCAUGUUUUUCAAUCAAUUUGCAAAUGUAUUUGUUGCUGUAUAGUGAUUGUUUUGCAAAAUAAAAUUGCUUGUCAUCUAACUAC
rnacentral:lncRNA from 1 species